AACGAACGCUGGCGGCAUGCCUAACACAUGCAAGUCGAACGAGACCUUCGGGUCUAGUGGCGCACGGGUGCGUAACGCGUGGGAAUCUACCCUCAGGUUCGGAAUAACUCAGAGAAAUUUGAGCUAAUACCGGAUGAUGACGUAAGUCCAAAGAUUUAUCGCCUGAGGAUGAGCCCGCGUAGGAUUAGGUAGUUGGUGGGGUAAAGGCUCACCAAGCCGACGAUCCUUAGCUGGUCUGAGAGGAUGAUCAGCCACACUGGGACUGAGACACGGCCCAGACUCCUACGGGAGGCAGCAGUGGGGAAUAUUGGACAAUGGGCGAAAGCCUGAUCCAGCAAUGCCGCGUGAGUGAUGAAGGCCUUAGGGUUGUAAAGCUCUUUUACCCGGGAUGAUAAUGACAGUACCGGGAGAAUAAGCUCCGGCUAACUCCGUG
rnacentral:rRNA from 1 species